UUCGCCCUUAGAGUUUGAUCCUGGCUCAGAACGAACGCUGGCGGCAGGCCUAACACAUGCAAGUCGAACGCAUCCUUCGGGGUGAGUGGCAGACGGGUGAGUAACACGUGGGAACGUGCCUUUCGGUUCGGGAUAACCCAGGGAAACUUGGGCUAAUACCGGAUACGCCCUUUGGGGGAAAGAUUGAUUGCCGAAAGAUCGGCCCGCGUCUGAUUAGCUAGUUGGUGAGGUAACGGCUCACCAAGGCGACGAUCAGUAGCUGGUCUGAGAGGAUGACCAGCCACACUGGGACUGAGACACGGCCCAGACUCCUACGGGAGGCAGCAGUGGGGAAUAUUGGACAAUGGGCGCAAGCCUGAUCCAGCCAUGCCGCGUGAGUGAUGAAGGCCCUAGGGUUGUAAAGCUCUUUCGGCGGGGACGAUAAUGACGGUACCCGCAGAAGAAGCCCCGGCUAACUUCGUGCCAGCAGCCGCGGUAAUACGAAGGGGGCUAGCGUUGUUCGGAAUCACUGGGCGUAAAGGGCGCGUAGGCGGCCAUUCAAGUCGGGGGUGAAAGCCUGUGGCUCAACCACAGAAUUGCCUUCGAUACUGUUUGGCUUGAGACCGGAAGAGGUCAGUGGAACUGCGAGUGUAGAGGUGAAAUUCGUAGAUAUUCGCAAGAACACCAGUGGCGAAAGCGGCUGACUGGUCCGGUUCUGACGCUGAGGCGCGAAAGCGUGGGGAGCAAACAGGAUUAGAUACCUUGGUAGUCCACGCCGUAACGAUGAUGCUAGCCGUUGGCGAGCUUGGCUCGUCAGUGGCGCAGCUAACGCUUUAGCAUCCGCCCUGGGGGAGUA
rnacentral:rRNA from 1 species